AAAUCAUAUUUACCUUUAUGGCUAUUAUUGAUAAUAUAUACCUCAUAUAGGGCUUCUUUUUUUUUUUGUUCUUCUACCCCACAAUUGUUCUCUGUUUAUGUCCCUCUAGCACUGCCUACUUAACUCUGCUGUAGCACUCAUCAUUUUGACUGGGAACUCUGGGUUUAUUAUUGAACUCCCAGGUCUCAGCUCAAUGCCUGGUACAUAACAGGCAUUCACAUUCAUUAAAUGUUUUUUGUUGAAUAUAUCCAGUCAGGGAAUAGAAAGGUGUAUACAUGAAUAAACUACAUGUCACAUGAGAGAUAUAAGUGUAGUCAAUAGGAUUCACUAGUAAGACACACUGUAUCUAGUUCAGGGAAUUACAAUAAAACUUUACAUUUGUAUAGUGCUUUUUACUUUGCACCACACUUAAACAUUUUUCUUUAAUCCUCACAACCAUACUCUGAGGUAUGUAUUAUUAUCACUACUUUUUAGAAUGGGAAAUUGACACUGUAGGAGGUUAGGUGA
rnacentral:lncRNA from 1 species